rnacentral:rRNA from 1 species
UACGAAGGGGGCUAGCGUUGUUCGGAAUUACUGGGCGUAAAGCGCACGUAGGCGGAUUUGUCAGUCGGGGGUGAAAUCCCGAGGCUCAACCUCGGAACUGCCUCCGAUACAGCAAAUCUCGAGUCCGGGAGAGGUGGGUGGAAUUCCUAGUGUAGAGGUGAAAUUCGUAGAUAUUAGGAAGAACACCAGUGGCGAAGGCGGCCCACUGGCCCGGUACUGACGCUGAGGUGCGAAAGCGUGGGGAGCAAACAGG